rnacentral:rRNA from 1 species
UACGUAGGGUGCAAGCGUUAAUCGGAAUUACUGGGCGUAAAGCGUGCGCAGGCGGUUUUGUAAGUCUGAUGUGGAAUCCCCGGGCUCAACCUGGGAAUUGCAUUGGAGACUGCAAGGCUAGAAUCUGGCAGAGGGGGGUAGAAUUCCACGUGUAGCAGUGAAAUGCGUAGAGAUGUGGAGGAACACCGAUGGCGAAGGCAGCCCCCUGGGUCAAGAUUGACGCUCAUGCACGAAAGCGUGGGGAGCAAACAGG